GACGAACGCUGGCGGCGUGCCUAAUACAUGCAAGUAGGACGCACAGCCUAUACCGUAGCUUGCUGCACCAUAGGCUGUGAGUUGCGAACGGGUGAGUAACGCGUAGGUAACCUGCCUAUUAGAGGGGGAUAACUAUUGGAAACGAUAGCUAAUACCGCAUAACAGUAUGUAACACAUGUUAGAUGCUUGAAAGAUGCAAUUGCAUCGCUAGUAGAUGGACCUGCGUUGUAUUAGCUAGUAGGUAGGGUAAUGGCCUACCUAGGCAACGAUACAUAGCCGACCUGAGAGGGUGAUCGGCCACACUGGGACUGAGACACGGCCCAGACUCCUACGGGAGGCAGCAGUAGGGAAUCUUCGGCAAUGGGGGGAACCCUGACCGAGCAACGCCGCGUGAGUGAAGAAGGUUUUCGGAUCGUAAAGCUCUGUUGUUAAGGAAGAACGAGUGUGAGAA
rnacentral:rRNA from 1 species